UUUGGUUAAGUUAAUAAGGGCGCACGGUGGAUGCCUUGGCACUAGGAGUCGAUGAAGGACGGCACUAACACCGAUAUGCCUCGGGGAGCUGUAAGUAAGCUUUGAUCCGGGGAUUUCCGAAUGGGGGAACCCACUAUCUUUAAUCGGAUAGUAUCUUCACGUGAAUUCAUAGCGUGUUGAAGACAGACGCAGGGAACUGAAACAUCUAAGUACCUGCAGGAACAGAAAGAAAAUUCGAUUCCCUGAGUAGCGGCGAGCGAAACGGGAAGAGCCCAAACCAAAGAGCUUGCUCUUUGGGGUUGUAGGACACUCUAUACGGAGUUACAAAAGAAUGAAUUAGACGAAGCGACUUGGAAAGGUCCGCGAAACAAGGUAAAAGCCCUGUAGUCAAAAGUUCAUUCCCUCCAGAGUGGAUCCUGAGUACGGCGGAACACGUGAAAUUCCGUCGGAAUCCGGGAGGACCAUCUCCCAAGGCUAAAUACUACCUAGUGACCGAUAGUGAACCAGUACCGUGAGGGAAAGGUGAAAAGCACCCCGGAAGGGGAGUGAAAUAGACCCUGAAACCGUGUGCCUACAAGUAGUUAGAGCCCGUUAAUGGGUGAUAGCGUGCCUUUUGUAGAAUGAACCGGCGAGUUACGAUUACGUGCGAGGUUAAGUUGAGAAGACGGAGCCGCAGCGAAAGCGAGUCUGAAUAGGGCGAAUUAGUACGUGGUCGUAGACCCGAAACCAGGUGAUCUACCCAUGUCCAGGGUGAAGGUGAGGUAACACUCACUGGAGGCCCGAACCCACGCACGUUGAAAAGUGCGGGGAUGAGGUGUGGGUAGCGGAGAAAUUCCAAUCGAACCUGGAGAUAGCUGGUUCUCUCCGAAAUAGCUUUAGGGCUAGCCUCGUGAUUGAGAAUACCGGAGGUAGAGCACUGUUUGGACUAGGGGGGCAUCUCGCUUUACCGAAUUCAGACAAACUCCGAAUGCCGGAUAUUUAUACACGGGAGUCAGACUGCGAGUGAUAAGAUCCGUAGUCAAGAGGGAAACAGCCCAGACCACCAGCUAAGGUCCCCAAGUAAUCGUUAAGUGGAAAAGGAUGUGGCGUUGCUUAGACAACCAGGAUGUUGGCUUAGAAGCAGCCAUCAUUUAAAGAGUGCGUAAUAGCUCACUGGUCGAGUGACGCUGCGCCGAAAAUGUAUCGGGGCUAAACGAUUCACCGAAGCUGUGGAUGCAUACUUAGAGUAUGCGUGGUAGGAGAGCGUUCUAACAGCGUUGAAGUCAGACCGGAAGGACUGGUGGAGCGGUUAGAAGUGAGAAUGCCGGUAUGAGUAGCGAAACAUGGGUGAGAAUCCCAUGCACCGUAUGACUAAGGUUUCCUGAGGAAGGCUCGUCCGCUCAGGGUUAGUCGGGACCUAAGCCGAGGCCGAUAGGCGUAGGCGAUGGACAACAGGUUGAUAUUCCUGUACCACCUCCUCACCGUUUGAGAAAUGGGGGGACGCAGUAGGAUAGGGUAAGCACGCCGUUGGUUGCGCGUGUUCAAGCAGUAAGGCGUGUAUGUAGGCAAAUCCGCAUACUAUAACGUUGAGCUGUGAUGACGAGCUCGUAUGAGCGAAGUUCCUGAUUUCACACUGCCAAGAAAAGCCUCUAUCGAGG
rnacentral:rRNA from 1 species